GGGGUUGUAGCUUAGCGGUAGAGUGCUCACCUAGCAUGUGCGAGGCCCUGGGUUCAAUCCUCAGCACCACA
rnacentral:tRNA from 1 species